UAGGGAAUUUUUCACAAUGGACGAAAGUCUGAUGAAGCAAGCCGCGUGAGUGAUGACGGUCUUCGGAUUGUAAGCUCUGUUAUAAGGGAAGAAUGGUAGGAUAGGAAAUGAUCUUACUUUGACGGUACCUUAUCAGAAGCCACGGCUAACUAUGUG
rnacentral:rRNA from 1 species